rnacentral:rRNA from 1 species
CCCUUAGAUGUUCUGGGCCGCACGCGCGCUACACUGAUGCAUUCAACGAGCCUAUCCUUGACCGACAGGUCCGGGUAAUCUUUGAAUCUGCAUCGUGACGGGGAUAGAUUAUUGCAAUUAUUGGUCUUCAACGAGGAAUUCCUAGUAGACGUAGUUCAUCAGACUGCAUCGAUUACGUCCCUGCCCUUUGUACACACCGCCCGUCGCUCCUACCGAUUGAAUGCUCAGGUGAGCCAUUCGGACCUUCAUCAUGCCGGUUUCCGGUUUUGAUGAGGGAAAGUCUUGCGAACCUUAUCAUUUAGAGGAAGGAGAAGUCGUAACA